rnacentral:rRNA from 1 species
GGAUCAUUGCACACACGAGUUGCAGCAAACCACGCGGCGAACCAACACGUUGUCCCCCCCCUUCCGGUGGCCUCGGCCGCGGCGGCUAAACCCCGUCGCGUCCGUCGUCGCCGCGUCGGAAUACCGAAUGAUACCGAAUCACUUCGACCAAAUGACUUAGUCCCAUUUUGGACCCCUUGACUUCUAGUUAGGGGGCGAGAAAACGAGAAACAAAGAUGAACACAACUCUCAGCAACGGAUAUCUUGGCUCCUGCAACGAUGAAGAACGCAGCGAAAUGCGAUACCUAGUGUGAAUUGCAGAAUUCCGCGAAUCAUUGAGUCUUUGAACGCAAGUUGCGCCCGAGGCUCGACCGAGGGCAUUUCCGUUAGAGCGUCACCGCGCGCCCCCACCGAGCUCCCCAACCAAGGGAGGAGGAGUUCGAGUGCAAUUGGCCGUCCCGAUUUGUUACCCUUUGUUGUGGAAUCGGAAUCGGGUCGGCCGAAGUACCUUGGCAGACUCCGUGGCGACACGGCCCACGAUCGGGUGAUCCGAGCCCUUCUAAAGGGGCUCGGAAUUUUUCUAAGUGUGAGGCCGCGCCGCCCCGUGUGUCCCGAAGGGAGGAAAGUGUUACAUGUUAAGUGUUACAUUGAAGUGAGCAGUGAAGUGUUACCAGAGUUACGCACCAGACCUCUAAUCGGGAAAGACUACCCGCUGAGUUU